rnacentral:rRNA from 1 species
AGUGAACGCUGGCGGUAGGCCUAACACAUGCAAGUCGAACGGCAGCACAGUAAGAGCUUGCUCUUACGGGUGGCGAGUGGCGGACGGGUGAGGAAUACAUCGGAAUCUACUUUUUCGUGGGGGAUAACGUAGGGAAACUUACGCUAAUACCGCAUACGACCUACGGGUGAAAGCAGGGGAUCUUCGGACCUUGCGCGAUUGAAUGAGCCGAUGUCGGAUUAGCUAGUUGGCGGGGUAAAGGCCCACCAAGGCGACGAUCCGUAGCUGGUCUGAGAGGAUGAUCAGCCACACUGGAACUGAGACACGGUCCAGACGCCUACGGGAGGCAGCAGUGGGGAAUAUUGGACAAUGGGCGCAAGCCUGAUCCAGCCAUACCGCGUGUGUGAAGAAGGCCUUCGGGUUGUAAAGCCCUUUUGUUGGGAAAGAAAAGCAGCAGGUUAAUACCCCGCUGUUCUGACGGUACCCAAAGAAUAAGCACCGGCUAACUUCGUG